GUAAAAAUGGUGUUUAGAUUUUUGAUGCUCGCGGGUAUAAAAAUUUCAGAAAAAAAUCAAACAUUUUUUUUUCAUUACAAAUUUUAUUAAAUACUUUAUUAGUUGUUACUUUAUCGUAUGGUUCGUAAAAUAAUUCAACUAAAUCAAUUCGUGUUGGCCCCAGAUGACUUUUAACAUUUAUGGCCUGGGCCCCUGUCCCCCCC
rnacentral:lncRNA from 1 species